AGGGAUGUAGCUCAGGGGGGAGAGCGCCUCGUUUACACCGAGGAGGCCGGCAGUUCGAAACUGUCCAUCCCUA
rnacentral:tRNA from 1 species